GCCUCCAUACAAAUAUGAAGAUAGAGUUAAAGCCAUAAAAUCAAUGGUAAAGCCAGGACCAUCUUGGACUCCCUUCAAAAUCCGGAUUAUUUUUACUAGAGAAACAUAUGAAGAAGCUCGCCAAAAACUACCAGAGGCAGAAAUAAACACAGACCUUACAGAUGUGGACUCGCCCCCCGUGAGAAGAAAAAGACACAUUAAAAGGGCACGUUUUUUCGAUGAUAGUGAAACUGAGGAUGAGGCAAACUUUCCACUUCCAGCAGCGCCAGAAGUGCAAAUCAACCCCAUCAGG